GAUGAACGCUGGCGGCGUGCCUAAUACAUGCAAGUCGAGCGAACAGACGCGGAGCUUGCUCCUUUGACGUUAGCGGCGGACGGGUGAGUAACACGUAGGUAACCUACCUAUAAGACUGGGAUAACUUCGGGAAACCGGAGCUAAUACCGGAUAAUAUUUCGAACCGCAUGGUUCGAUAGUGAAAGAUGGCUUUGCUAUCACUUAUAGAUGGACCUGCGCCGUAUUAGCUAGUUGGUAAGGUCAAGGCUUACCAAGGCAACGAUACGUAGCCGACCUGAGAGGGUGAUCGGCCACACUGGAACUGAGACACGGUCCAGACUCCUACGGGAGGCAGCAGUAGGGAAUCUGCCGCAAUGGGCGAAAGCCUGACGGAGCAACGCCGCGUGAGUGAUGAAGGUCUUCGGAUCGUAAAACUCUGUUAUUAGGGAAGAACAAACGUGUAAGUAACUGUGCACGUCUUGACGGUACCUAAUCAGAAAGCCACGGCUAACUACGUG
rnacentral:rRNA from 1 species